rnacentral:rRNA from 1 species
UACGUAGGGUGCAAGCGUUAAUCGGAAUUACUGGGCGUAAAGCGUGCGCAGGCGGUUUGCUAAGACAGGUGGGAAAUCCCCGGGCUUAACCUGGGAACUGCAUUUGUGACUGGCGGGCUAGAGUAUGGCAGAGGGGGGUAGAAUUCCACGUGUAGCAGUGAAAUGCGUAGAGAUGUGGAGGAAUACCGAUGGCGAAGGCAGCCCCCUGGGCCAAUACUGACGCUCAUGCACGAAAGCGUGGGGAGCAAACAGG